rnacentral:rRNA from 1 species
UACGUAGGGUGCAAGCGUUAAUCGGAAUUACUGGGCGUAAAGCGUGCGCAGGCGGUUGUGCAAGACAGAUGUGAAAGCCCCGGGCUCAACCUGGGAAUUGCGAUGGAGACUGCAAGGCUUGAAUCUGGCAGAGGGGGGUAGAAUUCCACGUGUAGCAGUGAAAUGCGUAGAGAUGUGGAGGAACACCGAUGGCGAAGGCAGCCCCCUGGGUCAAGAUUGACGCUCAUGCACGAAAGCGUGGGGAGCAAACAGG